CGAGUGAGUAACACGUUGAUAACCUACCUAUAAGACUGGGAUAACUUCGGGAAACCGGAGCUAAUACCGGAUAAUAUUUUGAACCGCAUGGUUCAAAAGUGAAAGACGGUCUUGCUGUCACUUAUAGAUGGAUCCGCGCUGCAUUAGCUAGUUGGUAAGGUAACGGCUUACCAAGGCAACGAUGCAUAGCCGACCUGAGAGGGUGAUCGGCCACACUGGAACUGAGACACGGUCCAG
rnacentral:rRNA from 1 species